CUGCCUUCGGGUUUGGGACAACUCCGGGAAACUGGAGCUAAUACCGAAUGAGACUACAGAGCCCCUGGGUUCAGUGGUCAAAGAUGGCCUCUUCUUGAAAGCUAUCGCCCGUUGAUGAGUCCGCGUCCCAUUAGCUUGUUGGUGAGGUAACGGCUCACCAAGGCUCCGAUGGGUAGCUGGUCUGAGAGGAUGAUCAGCCACACUGGAACUGAGACACGGUCCAG
rnacentral:rRNA from 1 species